rnacentral:rRNA from 1 species
GACGAACGCUGGCGGCGUGCCUAAUACAUGCAAGUAGAACGCUGAAGAGAGGAGCUUGCUCUUCUUGGAUGAGUUGCGAACGGGUGAGUAACGCGUAGGUAACCUGCCUGGUAGCGGGGGAUAACUAUUGGAAACGAUAGCUAAUACCGCAUAAAAUUGAUUAUUGCAUGAUAAUUAAUUGAAAGAUGCAACUGCAUCACUACCAGAUGGACCUGCGUUGUAUUAGCUAGUUGGUGAGGUAACGGCUCACCAAGGCGACGAUACAUAGCCGACCUGAGAGGGUGAUCGGCCACACUGGGACUGAGACACGGCCCAGAAUCCUACGGGAGGCAGCAGUAGGGAAUCUUCGGAAAUGGGGGGAACCCUGACCGAGCAACGCCGCGUGAGUGAAGAAGGUUUUCGGAUCGUAAAGCUCUGUUGUAAGAGAAGAACGGGUGUGAGAGUGGAAAGUUCACACUGUGACGGUAUCUUACCAGAAAGGGACGGCUAACUACGUG